GUAAGUACUUUGACAAUGGUGCAAGUGCGAGUUCGCGACGGUGUGUUGGAAGGGGAAGUGUUGGAUAAUGUGCUCGGAGGACAGUACUACAGUUUUAAGGGGAUUCCUUAUGCUGCACCUCCAUUAGGAGACCUGCGAUUCAAGGCGCCACAACCAGUCAUUCCUUGGGAUGGAGUCCGCAGCGCUAAGGCCCACGGACCGAUCUGCCAUCAGUUCGACAUGUUCACCGGAAAGCUGUGCACAGAACCAAGCAGCGAAGACUGCCUCUACCUCAAUGUGUAUUCGCCUGAUCUCCAGCCUAAAAAACCGCUUCCUGUAAUGUUUUGGAUCCAUGGCGGCGGUUUCUUAAGCGGCAGCGGAAACACAAGCUACUAUGGACCCGAUUUCCUAGUCAAUCAAAAUGUUGUCCUUGUAACUUUUAAUUACAGACUAGCCGUAGUAGGAUUCUUGUGCCUGCACACAAAAGAAGUACCAGGAAACGCCGGUAUGAAAGACCAAGUAGCUGCUCUUAGGUGGGUGAAAGACAACAUAAGGCAUUUUGGCGGAGAUCCUGAUAAUGUAACUAUUUUUGGAGAGAGCGCCGGUGCAGGGUCGGUCACCUACCACCUGGUAUCUCCAAUGUCCAAAGGGCUGUUCAAGCGAGCUAUUGCACAGAGUGGCGUAAAUUUGAGUCAUUGGGCUCGAGCGUUUGAGCCUCGAUUGAGAGCUGAGGCCAUAGCUCGUUUAUUCGGUAAAGAUACCAAGGACGACAAAGAGCUGUAUGAAUUGUUUAAAUCCUUGCCAAUCGAAAAGUUAACAAAUCCCGUUGCGCCUCUUACAGUCGAGGAAGAAGCGGGGAUACGUCUCACUAUGUCUUUCACUGUUGUUGAUGAACAGCAGUUUGAUGGAGUUGAAAGAUUUUUCUACGGCGAUGUUUACGAACGGCUGCAUCACGGCAUACAUGAAGGCGUCGAACUUAUGAUGGGUUAUACAACUGACGAGGGCAUUGUUCAGUUUGCGUUUUCGCCAAAAGAUAAUUUCUUUGACAAUUACAACAAAUACGCACAGUGCUUCGUACCCAUUGAUUUAGCUCUAAAAUGCCCAGCGAAAGAUCAAUUGGCAAUCGGUCAUAAAAUGAAAAAUCAUUACUUCGGCGACAAACCCGUUACAAAAGACACUGUCGAUGUCCUAAUAAAAUAUUUGUCAAUGCAGCUAAUUACCUUUAAUGCUAUUGAAUAUGCCAAAUUCUUCGCUCAAAUGGAUAGGAACAAGUUAUUUGUCUACCAAUUUGACAUGUACUCUGAAAGAAAUAUUUGGACCGAAGAGUUUGGUGGAGGUCCAUACAUAAGCGGAAAGAGUGUCGGCCACUGCGAUGAUUUAACGUAUUUGUUCAGUACUGAGAAAGUUAAAGCUGACCUAACCGCUAAGAGUAUUAAACUUAUAAAGAAUAUGACAAAAUUGUGGACAGAUUUUGCUAGAUUCGGUAACCCCACUCCGGACAGCAGCCUGGGGGUCAAAUGGCCCGCGUUUGACCCCAAGAAGGAGCAGUACCUGGUCAUCGGCAAUGACCUCGUCGUGGCGUCACACCCAAAUAAAGAAGACUUCGAAUUCUGGGAGAAACUGCACCAACAAUAUGUCAAACAUUAGCUGUAACUAGACUCUGUAUUUUUAGGGGUUUAGUACCGUUUGGUAGCCAAAAUUUCGUAACCGGCUACAAACUGAUCUUGAUUUCCAUUUUGUAGCCAGUUACGUACUGGACCAGAGUAGUACCGUUUGGUAACUAAGUUUUGUAACUGGCUACAAUGUGGGAAUCAAAAUUCCCGGUUCGUAGCCGGUUACGAUUGGGCCCGAGUGGUAUCUUUUGGUAACCCAGUUUCGUAACUAGCGAAUACGGGAACGGGAAUACAAAAUUCCCUGUUUGUAGCUGGUUACGUAUUGGGUCCGAGUUACUGAUCGGAGUUUCUACCAAAUUGAAGCUAGGACGCUUGACAUACGGACAGACGGACAGAGUAAAACUAUAAAGGUUCCGUAGUCAACUAGUUUUACUCUGUCUAAAAAUUAC
rnacentral:misc_RNA from 1 species